rnacentral:lncRNA from 1 species
GUCGUAAAAGGGGACGCGGAGGAGAAGGAAAGUCGCUCAAGCAGUGGACAGAGCGGAGAAAGCGACUUCGGCCGCAGAGAGAAGAAGCUGCCCAAGAAUGGAAAGGAAGAAAUAUAUCACAUCAUCUGUCUGUCCACAGGCUUUCCUUGGGGCUUAUGAAGUGAAUGAAGGAGGGAAGAAAGGAGAGACAGAGAAAAUAUGGAUUUCCUCAUGGUUGUGAUUCCUCUUCACUCUUUUGAAUUUGGAAGGAUGGCAUACACAUCUGAAAAAUACCACUACUUCCUUCAUUGGACUGCAAGGUAUUUCUGUUUGGAAAAGUAAUGGAGUCCAGUCAACUUCAUUGAUCGCCAAGGACUGUCAAAAUUAUAAAACUUGCUGUGGAGCUCUGACAUGCCAGAAGCCGCUAGAAAAAGAAGUUUGACAUUCAGAAACUUAUCAAGAGGUUCUACUCUUUGGAUAGAGACCAAAAUCAUACUUUGAAGGGAUUGCAGUGGCAAAGCUAGGCUAGGUCUUGGAGGCUGGUGUAAGGCGAUGUGGGUGAAGGCAGGAGGCUGAUGGAAAGACUGGGGGGAAGAAAAGCCGAAAUGGAUUCACGGUGCCUUGGAUGAAGGACGAGAGGGGAACUGCAAGCUCCUUCAACUGGUUCUGUCCGGUGAGAAGUGAUCAAGCUUGGGCUGACAAGAGGCUCAGGGAGCCCUCACGUUCUUUCGCUUUUUUACCUGCCAAUCAAACUGCUACAAGACAACACCCUGAUCUGGCAUGGACAUCGCGGGUCCAAGCCUGUAGCCCCAAAUCGGAUAAUCUCUGCAGCUGAUAACAAGCAAAAGAGAAGCCAGGCAACAGCCAUAUUAAAGAAGAAAACAAUCAACUCUGAGCAGGAAGAAAUGUAAUGAAUUGAGUGCUGUCAGAGAUGUCUUCUGUUUGAACAAUCUGCGAUGGGCUGAAUGGCAGGGACUCCCUCAUCCAGUGCAGACACAGCCCAGGCAGACAGAAGGAAACGGAGCAUUAAUCCAACUGCAGUCACCCCAAAGUACAGGCCAUUUGGAUCCAGAAGAGAAACUGGUUCCUUCUACAAGCUCUCCCGUUCUCCCUGGGGCCCUUCACAGCCUCCUUGUCUACGUUGUGGCUGUGCUUUCCCUGAUCCAACUUAGAAAUAAUGUUUCAUUCAAGAUAAGGCUCGUGGCUUAGGAGAUUGUGACCUGGCUUGCAUCAUUCUAAGACUUCUAUCGUCUGUUUUCAAAACCCAAGGAGGACCUCCUUUUCUGUGUGAUAGUUCCUCAUGCUUUGCCAGCCACUGGGUCUUUAAGGAAGCUUGCCAAGAGUUCCCGGCUGGGAAGGACAGUUCGAGUUCAUCAUAGACAAUGAGCUGGCACCACAGUUUAAGUGACUCACCAACCUGGUUGCCCACUUCAAAAUGUCAAGAACCACACUAUCUAAUUGAAAGAACUGUGUUUUAGCAAAGUGUAAUUGGAUCGCCUGGCAAGAUCAUCUCAAACUAUGUCUCUGACCUUGCCUUUCAGUGGCUAUUUUGAGCACAAGAGGAGAAAGGAAAUGAUUCCUGAAUUAUAUCUUGUUUUUAAAAAUUAAGAUUAAUUAAUACUUGGUUUUAUGUUCAUUCCAUUGUAGGAACUUAGUGAUUAUUACAAAACAGUCAAAAUAGGUCAUAGCAAAAUGAACGUUUAAGAUUAGGUUAAAACAUUCCUCUGAAAUUUUAGUAUUCACUUUUGAAGUGUCAAUUACUAUAUUUCUGUAAUUUCUCAUUUUUUUCUUGGCUUAGAGUCAAGAUGAAAAAUGAUAUUUGAAUCAAAGACAUUGUUUUGUUAUAUAGCCACUCCUUUCUAAAAUGCAAAUCCACCCUCCCCUCACCAAUGCUUUAUUCUUUGUGCGCGCACACACACACACACACACACACACACACACACACACACACAGACAUACACAGAACCAGCACCCAAAUGGUAGAGGAGGUCCUUCCAAGACUUCUAGGACCUGGAUCAUGUAAGCAGUAGAUGAGAAAAUGAAGUAAGAGAUAUAGAGUAAUAACAAUAAAAGUCAAUGAUUUCAUUUUACAAAAAAGUCAUUGUGUAGUACUCAGAUAUUUUUAAGAGCAAGUAUUAUUAUGACUAAAGUAUAUUAUACUUCUAAAUUAUUAUGAUUCUCAUCUAAUUUCAAGCCACACAUAGGCGCCAUUUGAAAGCAUUUUGUGUUACAACCUAUCAACAAAAAUCAACUAAUAGUUUUAUAACGUGCAUAGGUUUACCCCAUGGGGAAUUAAAAUUUUUAUCUGCAAGUAUUUCUGUUGUUGUGAGACUUUAGGACAAGACAACAUUUGGUGUUAACAUAGAAGAAUAUUCUAUGGCUUUUUUAGCUUUAAAGUUCAUUACUCUAAAAUAAAGUACACGUGGUAUUUUUUUCUUCCUAGUGUUCUCUUAUUAUAUGUAGAGUAUUUUCGGUUGUUGUUUUUAACGUAUACAUUAUUUUUAUUAAGUCAUUUCAUAAAAGAUAAGAUAUAUACUAAUAGACCCUUGGUUUUCUCCUAAUUUAAUUAUUUCAAGUCAAGCAAAAUUGGGCAAUUUUCUUUCAGGAAAAAAAAAAUAUUGAGCAUGAUUUUGAGGUAAAACUGAUUAUUUACAGCAUCUUUUCUCUAAUAGGCUAACAUUUAUGAUGGAUCUUAUUUCAAAGUUGAUUAUUCUCAAAGAAAAGUGGAGAUAUUAGAAUUUCCGAGUAAAUUGCAUUGUUUUAAAAAGUACUUUAAUGCAUUGUUCACAUUGUUGCCAGCUAUUGACCAAAAAAGAGAAGAAGAAAAAAGAAAUAAAAAAAGCAGUAUCUGCUCCAAACGUCAAGUUUUGCAGUUUGAAAGACUUGUACAUUAUAAUUGUUUUUUUCUUUUUUGGAAAGCAGUAGUAAUUAAUACCAAAGGCAUAGACAAUUUAGGGCCAUAACCUCCCUUCCCCCCUCUCCACCUUUUUUUUUUUUUUUUUUUUUUUUUAACUUUAACCAUGAUAGGCAUCUCUGCAAGGUAGGUUUUAACAUAUUUUUUUCCUAAUUUUUUUCCCUCCAUUCAGUAAGAAGGAUAAGCUUUUAGAGUACCCAGUCACCGUGGUAACUGCCAAAAAAAUUCUCCUGAAGUUUGAAGAGGUCAGCUAGCAGGGUCAACAACCCUGGCCUCUCUCUGAGCUCGGUCUAGCAUGCCCCAGCCUGCGGUUGGAGUGUCAGGCCAGAUCUGACCCUGGGAGGUGGACCAUUCUGGCUCUGAUAUAAAUUUUUCGAGUCAGUUCAUGGCCUGGACUCUCCAGGUGGCCUCCAAAAUCGAUUUUGACCCCCUGACCCUGUCUCACGGAGGCAUAGCAUCCACCCUAAGUAAGGAUUUAGCCAGGAAUGACAGCUUUCCACUGAGUGUUAUUGGGGACAGUAUAAACAGUUUGGAAAGCAAGUAAGGAGGUGUGAGGGCUAGCAAUCAUUAAAAGCACAUUAAAAAACAAUUUUUAAAAAUCUUUAUUAGAGAAAGUUGUAAAUGCAUAUCUGUUACAGAAUUCCUGUGAUUUGUAGAGUUUUCUAGUCAGUUUUGAAUAUAAAUAGGUCACAUAUCUUUAUCUUUUUGCAUACUUUGUUACAAAUAUGCAAAUAAGAUAGGCAUACUUGCUACAAAAUAGGUACAGCAGGAAUGUAAUAUGUUCAGAAAAGGCAAACUGGUUAUUAAAACACAUUAACAGGUAAGGAGUUUCUAAUAUUUUAAAUACUAAAAUUUUACAUGUGUAUUUUGAAGUUUUUAAAAUGGAAAAAUAAAGAACCUUUAAAAAACCCAACAGUGUGGAAUAAAGAUAAACUUGUUGCACUCAAGGUACAUUUCUACUUUGUAAAGCAAGAAGCCAAUACACUCAGUUGGAUAAAAAUGAGAGAAAAAUUGUAAAUAUAGAGAGUUACAGCUUAUAGAGCUGAAGAGGAAUAAAACAAAAAAAAGUGUCUCUGAAUAACUUUAUGUAUUUUCAACAGUUUAAGAUAUCAGAAACUUGGAAAAUAAAUAUGAUAUAUAUAUAAAUCAUCA